GGAAAAUAAUCUGUCGACCAAAUCUCAUACUUAGAAAAAAAUGUCCCCGAAAAAACCUUUGUCAUGGAGAAAGCUCUCUUCAUCUCACAUCUCCACCGGAUUCGUUCACCGUUAAUCGGAGACGAUCUUCACGUCGGCUGGAGUUCUGUCUUCUAAUCAUCUCAGAGGUUUCCCAUCGUUGCUAAUUCGUUUCAUCUCCUCUUCUCCUCAUCUCCUCAUAUUUUGAUCGAGGAUCGUCGGCUUUCUAAUCGUAUCGGAGUGUCGUUUGCGAAGAGAAGAGGGUUUAUAGUUGCACUACAUGGAUAAUGGAGUGAAGGACCGAGAGCAAUAAUUAUUAUGAACCUCAUAAGGGGUUCACCAUUGUAUGUAUGAAAUUAUGAGAGUUUCUAAUUUUUGUUGGAAGCAAAAUUUUAAUAUUAUUAAAUAAAAUUAGAACCCUUUAAUGGGUUCACCAUUAAA